rnacentral:lncRNA from 1 species
AUUGUUUUUAUACUGCAACUUAAAUUAAUAAAAUCAGAGCUUUUUUAAUCGUAAAAAAACCCUUUUGUAUCCCUUAAUGGACCUCUGAUUGUGGAGAAAGUGUUCCAUGAUGAAAUUGACAUUAUACAAAAUAUAGCUAUGCUUCUAUAUUUAGGAAAUAAACACAACUAGUUGCAGUAUAAAUACAUCUAUAUGCAGAGUUACAUAAAGCGC